rnacentral:rRNA from 1 species
GACAGAGGAUGCAAGCGUUAUCCGGAAUGAUUGGGCGUAAAGCGUCUGUAGGUGGCUUUUAAGUCCGCCGUCAAAUCCCAGGGCUCAACCCUGGACAGGCGGUGGAAACUACCAAGCUGGAGUACGGUAGGGGCAGAGGGAAUUUCCGGUGGAGCGGUGAAAUGCGUAGAGAUUGGAAAGAACACCGAUGGCGAAGGCACUUUACUGGGCUAUUACUAACACUCAGAGACGAAAGCUAGGGUAGCAAAUGGGG